rnacentral:rRNA from 1 species
UACGUAGGGGGCAAGCGUUGUCCGGAAUCAUUGGGCGUAAAGGGCGCGUAGGCGGCUUGGCAAGUGGAAGGUGAAAUCCCUCGGCUCAACUGAGGAACUGCACGGGAGACUGCCGGGCUUGAGUUCGGGAGAGGGAAGCGGAAUUCCGGGUGUAGCGGUGAAAUGCGUAGAUAUCAGGAGGAACACCAAUGGCGAAGGCAGCUCGCUGGAACGGUACUGACGCUGUGGCGCGAAAGCGUGGGGAGCAAACAGG